CUGUUUACUUCAGCAGCACAUAUACUAAAAGUGGAAUGAUACAGAGAAGAUUAGCAUGGCCCCUGCACAAGGAUGACACGCAAAUUCGUGAAGCAAUCCAUAUUAAA
ensembl:snRNA U6 U6 spliceosomal RNA